UACGUAGGUGGCAAGCGUUGUCCGGAUUUAUUGGGUUUAAAGGGUGCGUAGGCGGCUUUGUAAGUCAGUGGUGAAAUAUGGCAGCUUAACUGUCAAGGUGCCAUUGAUACUGCAGAGCUUGAGUGAAGUCGAGGUAGGCGGAAUUGACGGUGUAGCGGUGAAAUGCUUAGAUAUCGUCAAGAACACCGAUAGUGAAGACAGCUUACUAGACUUCAACUGACGCUGAGGCACGAAAGUGUGGGGAUCAAACAGG
rnacentral:rRNA from 1 species